rnacentral:rRNA from 1 species
AUUGAACGCUGGCGGCAUGCCUUACACAUGCAAGUCGAACGGCAGCGCGGGAGCAAUCCUGGCGGCGAGUGGCGAACGGGUGAGUAACAUAUCGGAACGUGCCCUGGAGUGGGGAGUAACUAGUCGAAGAAUUAGUCUAAUAACCGCCAUACGAUCUACGGAGUGAAAGGUAGGGGAGUCGCAAGACCUCAUGCUCGUGGAGCGGCCGAUAUCU